ACUCCUACGGGAGGCAGCAGUGGGGAAUAUUGCACAAUGGGCGCAAGCCUGAUGCAGCCAUGCCGCGUGUAUGAAGAAGGCCUUCGGGUUGUAAAGUACUUUCAGCAGUGAGGAAGGUGGGUAUGUUAAUAGCAUACUCAUUUGACGUUAGCUGCAGAAGAAGCACCGGCUAACUCCGUGCCAGCAGCCGCGGUAAUACGGAGGGUGCGAGCGUUAAUCGGAAUUACUGGGCGUAAAGCGCAUGCAGGUGGUUUGUUAAGUCAGAUGUGAAAGCCCGGGGCUCAACCUCGGAAUUGCAUUUGAAACUGGCAAACUAGAGUACUGUAGAGGGGGGUAGAAUUUCAGGUGUAGCGGUGAAAUGCGUAGAGAUCUGAAGGAAUACCGGUGGCGAAGGCGGCCCCCCUGGACAGGAUACUGACACUCAGAUGCGAAAGCGUGGGGAGCAAACAGGAUUAGAUACCCUGGUAGGCUCU
rnacentral:rRNA from 1 species